CCUACGGGUGGCAGCAGUGGGGAAUCUUGCUCAAUGGACGAAAGUCUGACGCAGCAACGUCGCGUGAACGAUGACUGCCCUAUGGGUUGUAAACUUCUUUUAUAUGGGAGUAAAAUGGUCCGCGUGUGGGUUUUUGUAUGUACCAUAUUAAUCAAGAUCGUCUAACUCGGUGCCAGCCGCCGCGGUCAGACGGAGGAUCGGAGCGUUCUCCGGAUUUAUUUGGUUUAAAGGGAGCGUAGGUGGAUUGUUAAGUCAGUUGUGAAAGUUAGCGGCUCAACCGGGAGAGUGCAGUUGAAACUGGGAGUCUUGAGGACAGGAGAGGAGGGCGGAAUUCGUGGUGUAGCGGUGAAAUGCGUAGAUAUCACGAGGAACUCCAGUGGCGAAGGCGACUCACUGGACUGUAACUGACACUGAGGCUCGAAAGCGUGGGUAGCAAACAGGAUUAGAUACCCCAGUAGUC
rnacentral:rRNA from 1 species